rnacentral:lncRNA from 1 species
GUUUUCAGCCAAAAGGAAAGUGACUGCAGGUUUUAAAGCUGAAGUGCAAGAAGGAGCAAAGAGCAAAGAAAGUGGGGUAAAUUGUUCUAAAGUCUUUGUGUUGUUCAAGAGAAGGGUAAAGAAGACUCACCCUGAGCUAACAUCUGCUGCCAAUCUUCCUCUUUUCGUAUUUGAGCCGCCGCCAGAGCAUGACCACUGACAGAUGAGAGGCGUAGGUCCAUACCCGGAAACCAACCCAGGGCCACCGAAGCAGAGCAGGCCGAACUUAACCACUAUGCCACCGGGGCUGGCCUACAUUUCACCAUUUUAGAAAGCAAAAUUGAGCAGAUGAAAAUCUACAAACAGUAGUAGAUGAACUAACUGACACUUCAGAGGACAGUGGGGAGAAUUAAAAAGUAUUCCAAAGGCCAAAGGGCACGUGAUUCACAACCCCUGUGGAAGGUGGCACCCUAGCAUGCAGGCUGCUCGCCUGUGGAUGUGCUGUCUUUCUUGGGGUCUUGACCACUUUAUUUUUUAAUUUAAUUUUUUUAACUUUUAUUGACUUAUUUUUUGUGUGUGAGGAAGAUUGUCGCUGAGCUAACAUCUGUGCCAAUCUUCUUCUAUUUUAUGUGGGAUGCUGCCACAGCAUGGCCUGAUGAUCAGAGCUAGGUUCCUGUCUGGGAUCCAAACCUGUGAACCUGGGUUGCUGAAGCAGAGCUUGGGAACUUAACCACUACACCACCAGGCCAGCCCCAUUGACCACUUUAACUCUGUGCCAUGAGCACAGAAGUUUUCACUAGAACUAUGCCACCACUAAUUAAGGUUUUGUGGAGAAAUUAUUUUCAAGAGUGAAUUUUAUCCAGCUGAUUUAAUUCCUGACCUCAAUGAACAGUUUAUAAAUUAUUUUUUCGAUUUUCAUUUGAAUGAAAUAAUUUUCAUCCUAUCAAUUUAACUCUUCAGUCCAUUUUUUUGGUCCACAUAAGAUUUUUCUGACUAUGCACCUACCAUUAUGAAUGCUCUCUUGAGGCUAUUGUUUCUACCGAGUCUAACUUUCCUGAGUCAAAUAUAAAGAUCUAAAUUCCAUCAUGUGCUGUUUCAGCCAAUGUCAUUUAAAAAAAAUCUGUGUUGAUAUUUGAAACAAGAAUAUUAAUUAUGUAUUAGAUAAAAGAUUGAUCAGUUGUAUGUGUUUACCCAUCCAUGAGAAAAUGUUCCCCAAUUGUUCUGUGGUCCAACACGGGAUCAUGGCCUUGCUAACCCAACACUUCCACACAUUUCCAGGCACUCUGUG